AUUGAACGCUAGCGGCAUGCUUUACACAUGCAAGUCGAGCGAGCGGCGGACGGGUGAGUAAUAUCUCGGAACCUGCCCCCUCGCGGGGGAUAACUACUGGAAACGGUAGCUAAUACCGCAUACCAUCAUAUCUGCCCCUAUGGGAUUAGCUAGUUGGUGGGGUAAGGGCUCACCUAGGCAACGAUCCCUCGCUGGUCUGAGAGGACGACCAGCCACAGUGGAACUGAGACACGGCCCAGACUCCUACGUGAGGCAGCAGUGGGGAAUAUUGGACAAUGGGGGAAACGCUGAUGCAGCCAUGCCGCGUGUGUGAAGAAGGCCUUCGGGUUGUAAAGGACUUUUAGCGAAGAGGCGGUACCUGCAGAAGAAGCACCGGCUAACUACGGGCGAGCAGCCGCGGUAAUAC
rnacentral:rRNA from 1 species